rnacentral:rRNA from 1 species
AGUGAACGCUGGCGGUAGGCCUAACACAUGCAAGUCGAACGGCAGCACAGUAAGAGCUUGCUCUUACGGGUGGCGAGUGGCGGACGGGUGAGGAAUACAUCGGAAUCUACUUUUUCGUGGGGGAUAACGUAGGGAAACUUACGCUAAUACCGCAUACGACCUACGGGUGAAAGCAGGGGAUCUUCGGACCUUGCGCGAUUGAAUGAGCCGAUGUCGGAUUAGCUAGUUGGCGGGGUAAAGGCCCACCAAGGCGACGAUCCGUAGCUGGUCUGAGAGGAUGAUCAGCCACACUGGAACUGAGACACGGUCCAGACUCCUACGGGAGGCAGCAGUGGGGAAUAUUGGACAAUGGGCGCAAGCCUGAUCCAGCCAUACCGCGUGGGUGAAGAAGGCCUUCGGGUUGUAAAGCCCUUUUGUUGGGAAAGAAAAGCAGCAGGUUAAUACCCCGCUGUUCCGACUGUACCCAAAGAAUAAGCACCGGCUAACUUCGUG